UUUGCCCUUCAGUGUGUCCUGUUACAUUCUCUAGCCUUGUGUCACUCCACAGUACUGGAAGUGAAACCCUGCUGGUGGCACCGGCCAUCUCCCCCCACAGUUUCCUAGCAAAGGAUGACAACAACAGCAGCGUGGAACGAGAACUGAUGGAUAGCCUUGUCUUCAUAACACCCAACCAAUCAAGACUUUCAGUACCUUGUCAUGGACAACAGUGGAGUAAACCGUGAUUUACUAACAUUGGAAACUGAAUCUCAGCGCUGAGUUGUAUUUCUGAACAGGGCUGCUUUCAACAGGAUGUGGCACUGUCUAAAAGGGGUUUAGAGAAGUCAAACGCUGCUCUCGCUCCCUGAAACAAGACCCUCUCGUGCAAAAGUGAAAGACUCUUCCUUAGUGGCCGUGUAUCCACCCACUGUCCUCUCCCAUGGCCCUGACUCACCAUGUCCUGCAUCCUCCACUUCCCAGCGAUGGGGCGUUCUGUUAACCAAGAGGAAGCACUGUGUGUAUUUAUAGACAUUUCUCGUAUGAGAAGUCUGAACAAUAACAAACCCCCACCCCCACAGCCACUUCACCACCACAACACAAAAUAAGGGGUGGAGAGGGGGGGUGCAGAUAGAAUCAAACUUUAGUUUCGCUGUUCGAUGAUGACAGGAAAAUAAAACUGAGAGCACUGCAGCAUAGUUACAGUUCACAAGGUGGUUUUGACAGCUAACAUAGAAUUGGGUGAUUUCAGUGUGACAG